rnacentral:lncRNA from 1 species
CAAAACAUACCAUGCCCUGAGCAACCUGCCGAAAGCCCGAGCUGCCUUAACUUCUGCUCGAACCACAGCAAAUGCCAUCUACUGCCCCCCUAAAUUGCAGGCCACCUUGGACAUGCAGUCGGGUAUUAUCCAUGCAGCAGAAGAGAAGGACUGGAAAACUGCGUACUCAUACUUCUAUGAGGCAUUUGAGGGUUAUGACUCCAUCGACAGCCCCAAGGCCAUCACAUCUCUGAAGUACAUGUUGCUGUGCAAAAUCAUGCUCAACACGUAGGUGCACCUUAACUCUGGACUACAAGAACUCAGAUCCUUCAGCAAGUCUGUUUGCCAUGGCAGAGAUGGCCUGAGCAGGGAGUUUGGCCAGUUACAGAAACAGCAGCAGCUGCGGCCUCUAGGGCUGGCUAAGCCCAGAAGAUGUCCAGGCUUUGGUGAGCGGGAAGCUUGCACUUCGGUAUGCAGGGAGGCAGACAGAAGCAUUAAAAUGCGUGGCUCAGGCUAGCAAGAACAGAUCACUGGCAGAUUUUGAAAAGGCUCUGACAGAUUACCGGGCAGAGCUCCGGGA